CUAGCUUCAGCGAUGGAUCGGUCGAUUCGCGUAUCGAUGAAAAACGCAGCUAGCUGCGUUAUUUACCACGAAUUGCAGACGCUUAGAGUGGUGAAAUUUUGAACGCAUAGCGCCGUUGGGU
rnacentral:rRNA from 1 species